CAGUCGAGUAGGAAAUAAUAUUUCCCCAUUUUCACUACCGUUACAAUUAAAACUAAAAAGUUGAGGUUUGGUCAGAUCGGGUAGCUCUGUUGAAUAUUUUAGCUUUUAAGAUUUCCCGAGGAUAAAAAUAAUACGAAAAUGGUCUUUUGGAUUGUCGAUAUUAUGUUAAUUAAGCGUCAAAAUUGUUUGAAUAUCGUGGUUCGAAAUGUUCUUCAAAUCAACUAGGAAAUAAUUGGAGAAAUAUAAUUAUAUACCACGUGUAAUUAAUUUUUAUAUAAUUAUAUAUUAAAUACUUUGUGCGAAAAUAGAAUAUGUAUAAAUCACUUAGCUGUUGUGUCGUUUUGCUGAAGAGUAGACGAGCCUGACUAAUUGCAUCACCACUACUAUAAAUAGGUUAUGUUAAGUUGUUGCAGUAUGUUGCACAGCUGAUAUCCUUCGGUAUCCGUCGAUAGCUAAA